UGCCAGCAGCCGCGGUAAGACAGGAGGAGCAAGUGUUAUUCAGAAUUAUUGGGCGUAAAGGGCAUGUAGGUGGAUGAUUGGAGUUGAUUGUGCCAUUCCAAUGGGAUGCAUUGGGUUUGCAAUCAAUACUCUUCAUCUUGAGGUCAAAAGAGGAAAAUAGAAUUUCUAGUGGAGAGGUUAAAUUCUUAGAGAUUAGAAGGAAUAUCUAAAGCGAAGGCGCUCUGCUGGGCCAUCACUAACGCUCAUGGACGAAAGCCAGGGGAGCGAAAGGGAUUAGAUA
rnacentral:rRNA from 1 species